rnacentral:rRNA from 1 species
GCAGCACUGUAAGASCUUGCUCUUACGGGUGGCGAGUUGCGGACGGGUGAGGAAUACAUCGGAAUCUACCUUUUCGUGGGGGAUAACGUAGGGAAACUUUCGCUAAUACCGCAUACGACCUUCGGGUGAAAGCAGGGGAUCUUCGGGCCUUGCGCGAUUGNAUGAGCCGAUGGCNGAUUAGCUAGUUGGCGGGGUAAAGGCCCACCAAGGCGACGAUCCGUAGCUGGUCUGAGAGGAUGAUCAGCCACACUGGAACUGAGACACGGUCCAGACUCCUACGGGAGGCAGCAGUGGGGAAUAUUGGACAAUGGGCGCAAGCCUGAUCCAGCCAUACCGCGUGCAUGAAGAAGGCCUUCGGGUUGUAAAGCCCUUUUGUUCGGAAAGAAANNCAGCCGGCUAAUACCUGGUUGGGAUGACGGUAC